UACGUAGGUGGCAAGCGUUGUCCGGAAUUAUUGGGCGUAAAGCGCGCGCAGGCGGUCCUUUAAGUCUGAUGUGAAAGCCCACGGCUCAACCGUGGAGGGUCAUUGGAAACUGGGGGACUUGAGUGCAGAAGAGGAGAUCGGAAUUCCACGUGUAGCGGUGAAAUGCGUAGAGAUGUGGAGGAACACCAGUGGCGAAGGCGGCUCUCUGGUCUGUAACUGACGCUGAGGCGCGAAAGCGUGGGGAGCGAACAGG
rnacentral:rRNA from 1 species